CCUACGGGAGGCAGCAGUUGGGAAUUUUGCACAAUGGACGAAAGUCUGAUGCAGCAACGCCGCGUGCGGGAUGAAGAUUUUCGGAUUGUAAACCGCUUUUAUUUGGGAGUAACUGUUUGAACGUACCAAAUGAAUAAGCACCGGCUAACUCCGUGCCAGCAGCCGCGGUAAUACGGAGGGUGCAAACGUUGUCCGGAAUUACUGGGCGUAAAGCGCAUGUAGGUGGUCUAAUAAGUGAACGAUUAAAUACCGACGCUUAACGUCGGAAAGGUUAUUCAUACUGUUAGACUCGAGGAAGACAGGGGCAGAUGGAACUUUAAGUGUAGGAGUGAUAUCCGUAGAUAUUUAAAGGAACACCAAUGGCGAAGGCAGUCUGCUGGGUCUUUUCUGACACUGAGAUGCGAAAGUGUGGGGAGCAAACGGGAUUAGAUACCCCCGGUAGUCCACACUGUAAACGAUGCUCACUAGUCGUUGGUAGGGUAGUACGUACCCCGUUUACGGUACCGAACGACUAACGACGUUAAGUAGAGCCGCCGUGGGAGGUACGAACGACAAGUUAAACUUAAAUAGAAUAGAGCGUGAGAGUGCCGACGGACGACGACGAGGGAGAGG
rnacentral:rRNA from 1 species